UUUCAAUUUUCAACGUCUAAUAUUUGGAUUUUAGUUAGCCUUAAGCAAACAGAGCCUAACACCUCACUUUCCCUUUCUUCCUCUCCUUGCGUCACCGGAGACAAUGCCGUCAUCAGAACUUCGAAAUUCGCCGCCGGUAAAGCUAGUUUCCUCUCAAAAACGUUCAAGAGACAAAUCUCUCCGUCUUCUCCUAAAAUCAUGGCAAUCACAAAACCUUCUUCCCCAAAACGACGCCAAAAAGCUAUGGAAAUCACUCUUCAACUGCGUUUUACACUCCGACAAGCCUCAUAUUCAAUCCGACCUCAUCGAUCGCAUCACCUCACAUCUCUCAACACUCCACCAUCAUCAGCCUUCACUCGCACUUCAGUAUUUCUCCAUUUUCUUCAUCACCAUUCGUCGUGAAUUGUCCGGUAUCGAUUCCCUUAGGUUAGAAAAAUUCUAUCUUCUGAUUCGUAGAUUCAUUUCGAAUUUAUUCUCUUUACUUAAUAAGAAUUCGUGGAAUUUGGAAUUUGUUGAGAGUUUUAUGAAUUGUUUGGGUGAUGCUACUUUUUGUGGUAAAGAUAAGUUGUUGAUUAAAGGAAACGGUGUUAAUUAUCUUGUUGUUUCUGUUUUUCUUGAUGAGAUUACGCCUUUUUUACCGGUUAAUUUGUGUGUUUUAGAAGUGCUGUUUAGGCCGUUUUUUGAUGCUAUGGUUAAGUUGAAUGAUAAGGUUUUGUUAGGGAAGAUUAAGAGUUGCUUUUUUGAUGUGUUGUUGAUGAAUGGGAAGAGGUUGUUGGAGGUUAAGAAGAAUGGGGAUGAAGAUUGUAACGGUGAUGUUGUGAAUUUGGGAACUAUAGCGAUUGUUAUGGAGUUUUCUUCUAAGUUAUUUGAGUUGGGUUCUGGUUCUGAUUGUGUUGAGGGGAGUAGAAAGGUGUUGUUUGAGUUGCAUCGCGCGUUCUUGAAGCUGGAGAGGGAUGCUGUUAAUUCGGGGUUUAAGGUCAUUUCUGAUUCUGUUGAUCAGGGUGCGAAGGAUUUGGUUCCCAUUGUUGAGGUUGUUGGUUUAGGCAAGAAGGGUUCUGUCGACAAAGUGAAAAAGACAAAGAAGAAGAAGAAUAAGAAGAGCGGAAAUUGUGAGAUGAAUUGUGCUGAUAAGAAUGUUGCUAACGAGAAUGGUGGAAAUUCAAAUGAUGAACAAGUUGUUGAUGGUGAAGGCGCAAUGGUUUUGAAUGAGAGUAUGCUUUCAAAUCUCCAAAAGCGGUUUGAGAAUAUUGCUGCCGAAGGAGGUUUUGCAGAUAGUGUUGCAAGUGAAGCUACUGGGAUUGUAUCUAACAAGAGAAAGAGAACAAAGAAUUCUGAAGGAAAGACAUCUCGAGACUGUGAUUUGAAUGGUGGAGAUGUGGAAUAUUCGGCAGUAGCAAAGAGUGGGGAGAAAAGUUCGAAGAGGGUAAAAUUUUCCAUGGAAAGUAACUUGGUCUGGAUGCCACACAGUCCUUUACCUCCUGAGAGCUUAAGAAUUCCUCCAUCUGUUACACCCAGAGGAAGUGCACUCAAAAAGGGUGUACCCCCAGGUCCUAUCUGCGAUACGCCUCUCCCUCUACCGACCAAAGGGGCGAAACGGAAGAAGGCCAGAGAUACAAUACGCUUGAUGAAAUUAAAAUCUCUUUCUGUGUGAUUUCCCUGACAUUAUGAGGUUAUAUUUCCAUGACUUAUUUUGUCAAUCAUUUAUUUGUUAUUCUUGAAAUUUUGAAACUUCAUUAUGAUAGUUGAAUUCUACCCCAAGUGUAAAGCAAAUUGACUUUUAGCUUAGAGCUAAUCUAUUCAAGAUCAUAAUGUUGAUUAAUGUGUGAUUCAUCUACCUAUCCAUGCCAUUUCUUUCUAUCUUAUUACUAUUGUUGUUGAUGUUUUAUUUUGUUUUAACAAAUGGCUUAAAAUGCUUGGUAAUGAUGACCUUGUGACUUAUUGAGGAUUGGCACACUGUUUUUUCCUUCAAAGCUGAGCCUUGUUGUUGGCACCUACUUGUAAUAUAUUGAUAGCUUGUUGAGGAGUUUCUUUUUUUAGGAAUGAGUGAAGGGUUAUGAACUUGUGAUAUGAAUGAGUCUGUGAUCAGCAGUGGCUGUACUGCCUAUGUUUUUAUGUUUUAAACGGAUGAGAAGUCGAGAAUGAUGGUUCAUUGCUUUGCAAUGUAUUGGGGUUAUUUGAAUGAUACCUUGCUUCUUAUGAUUAACAGGGAAGUCCAUAGGGUCCAUGGAAAUGAUGAAAUCACUAGAGGAACAUUUGUUGUACCAUGUUAGAAAAACUAGAGGAAUACUAGGGAGUUUGAAUCUGUGACUCUGCCCCCUUGUGAAAUUUUGACACAUUUUGUGAAUUUAUUUGUUGUUUGCAGAUGUUUCAUAUAUUCUAUCAUGUACAUAAAAUAGGCCGUAAUGAUUUUUUAUUUAUUGGAAUGAUAUAGGGCCUGUUUGUUUCAGAUUUUUCACCAAAAAAAAAUCUAUUUUUUUUCUCUUGUGUUUGUUUCAGAUUUUUUCAAAAAUCAUUUUAGUAAAAAUAUCAUUUUUUUCAUCAAAAUGAGAAUCUAUUUUCAAUAGCUUUUAUCAAAAUCCAUUUUUUUAUCACUCAUCAUCCCUCACCAUUUAAAAAAAUAGAUUUUUAUGAUUGUAAACAAACGGCAAAUAGCUUUAGAUUUUCUUCAAAAUGUCUAGAUUUUUUUUUUAAAAAAGUCCAUUUUUUUAAAGCUGAAACAAACAGGCCCAUACAAGUGUAACAAUUUAACCUCAAAAGAUUGUAUCUAAUACAAAGAAGAAAUAAGAAAUAAUCAAGAAGCUAUGAGAAAUUGGUAUAGAUUAGUCAAAUCAAAGAAAUAGACUAAUGUAUAGAUUAGUAAAAUAAAAGAAAUAGACAAAUGUCUUCCAUGAUAACUUCAGAAAAGACUGUAUCUUUGUGCAUUUUUAACUGCAGAGUACUAUAGCAGUGUGUGAUGAUUUUCAUGUUGCUCAAAUGUCUGCUUUCCCUGGAAUGAGUCAAUGUCUAGUCGGAUGUAGGACUGGCUUUAUGCUUUCUCCAAAUGGAUUUUUGUAAGCGGUUGCGUGGUGUCUCCAUUAUCAGCAGGUAUUCUGUCUAUCCCAAAGCAGAAAUCAUCUGAAUGAUAAUAUAUUGGCAUUAUUGGUUGAACAUUUUGUCUAGAAAAUUUUCUCUUAUUCCUCCGUAAAUAAUUCCAUAAAUAAAUGGUUGAUCUUUUGUUGAUUUGGGUUUGGAAUAGGAAAUUGUUUAGAUUGCAUGAAGCGCUAAUUGUUUUCCUUGAAAUUAUCAUCUAUAUUUAUCCCCCACCAUGCUUUAAGAGACUUAGUUCUUUUUUCCACGCUACUCAGUUUAAUGUGAAUUGUCAACCUAAGAUCACUGCAGUUUUUUGGUUAAAUUUGUUUCUUAUAAAAGCAUCCUAUGUCCUUAAAUUUGAUAUAAUGAUCUGAUUUCAGUAGAGAAAAACCAUGGAUAAUGCUUUACGAGCAUGCUGCAAAGGUGACAAUGGUCAGCCAGUUUUUCAUCUGCAUAUAUGCUUCGGAAUUGAGUGUAUAAUUAUGUUUGUUUGAUUUCACAAUGUCUAACUCGUCCCCUUGAGCAUCUAAUAUAUGAGAAGUUGCCAAAUGAUAUCUCAGAUAGGUAUGUGUUGCAGUUGGAUCCUAUCUUAAGGCACAGGUUUGUCUGUUUUGUAAUGUAUGUUUAAUUUAGUGUCAGUUUAAGGUGUGUUUUGUGCAAGCUGACACAUGAACAGCACAUGAUAAAUAUUUCAGUUUUAAAACAAUUUGUUGUUUUUUGUCAAAAAUAAAAUAAAAUUUGUUGUUUGCAUAUCUAUUGAUGAUCAAUACAACACAAGCAAAACAAUGGAAAAGUUACUUCAAUACCUAUAUUGUGUAAUGUAAUGUCUAUUUCACGGUUCACGCAGUUAUUGGUGAACAUUCAUAUGACACACACUGUUAUUGACUUUGAGCAUUCAUAUGAGAGAGAAAGCAUAGAUAUUGAGUAGAAAAUGAAAAAAGGUAAUUUUGUCUUUAGUUAGUGUCUGUUGUCCUUGGAAGAAGUUAUCCCAUGGCUUGUCACUUUGUUGAGUAACAAAAUGUUCGAGCCUUUAAUUUUAUAUGGAACAAUCUUUUUUGUUUGGUUUUUUUUUUUUUUUUUUUUUUUGACAAUCUUUUUUGUUUGGUUUAGUCCUUCAUUUUUGAGCAAUCCAGCAGUCUCUAAAUAUUUUACAGCUUGUAAAAAUGCAAACGAACCAUCAGCAGCCUACUGCAACUUUAGGUUAUGUAGAAGUUACCAUAGGUAGGGUGUUUUGAAAUUGACAUUUAAGUAUUUGCAUUUUGUUUUGACUAACGUUAGAAUAUUUUCAUCUUUAGGUAAUUUUGCCGAUCAAGCAACUUUAAUUUUAAAGGUGUACCAGAGUCCAACAUUAUAUUUCUCAACCUCGUCUUAUGGGUGUACCAGACUCCAACAUAUUUCUCAACCUCGUAUCAGCACCUCAAAGUGUGCAUGACAUCCGAGAUUGACAUUGGUCUGAAUGAAGAUUUCCGUGUCAUUCCUGGGAUAUGCGAGUUUGGGGACCAGUACUUUGGAAAAGAUGACGAUGACGAGCAGUUGGAGAGCCGUUCGUGGUAAUUAUUCUUGGGCAAAAUCAACAACAUUUUUGGUUGAUCAUUAACUAACGAGACUUCACUGUAAAGAAAAGGAUUGUACUUUGCUGAAUCGAGACUCUGCCGGGAUUUUAGUGCUAGUUGUAAUUCAAUUUCGAUCAUAAUCCUUAUUUUACUUUAUUUAAUGACAUAUAGUUGAAAUCCUCGGAUGCAAAUUUUGUGAUCAUGUAUUAUUUUACCCGAUAUUAUCCUUGAACUUAUUCUUUGCUGAUACUGUGAUAAUAGAAUACAUGUUCAUGAA